AUCCUUCUGUGGAUCACAGUAUGAUGCUUGGGUUGUCACACCAAUGAGAGAGAUGUGCUCCUCAAAACAUGUUACUAUGUGGACAUUUACCAGCCCGACU
rfam:Fukomys damarensis contig87595, whole genome shotgun sequence.